GUUAAAAAGCUCGUAGUUGGAUUUCUGUUAGGGUGAGGCGGCCGGCCACUCGUGGUUGUAGCUUGUUAUCACCUUGGCAUCUUGUCACAAUCCGUGAUGGCAUUAACUUGUUGUCGCUGGGGACUGACUCGUUUACUUUGAGAAAAUUAGAGUGUUCAAAGCAGGCUAGCGCCUUGAAUAUAUUAGCAUGGAAUAAUAAUAUAGGACUUUGGUUCUAUUUUGUUGGUUGUUCGAGAACCGAAGUAAUGAUUGAUAGGGACAGUUGGGGGCGUCAGUAUUCUGAAGCGAGAGGUGAAAUUCUUGGACCUUCGGAAGACUAACAACUGCGAAAGCAUUCGCCUAGGAUGUUCUCUUUAAUCAAGAACGAAAGUUGGGGGAUCGAAGACGAUCAGAUACCGUCGUAGUCUCAACUAUAAACUAUGCCAGCUAGGGAUUGGUGCACGUUUUCGUACGACUCCAUCAGCACCUUAUGAGAAAUCAAAGCAUUUGGGUUCCGGGGGGAGUAUGGUCGCAAGGCUGAAACUUAAAGGAAU
rnacentral:rRNA from 1 species